GACGAACGCUGGCGGCGUGCUUAACACAUGCAAGUCGAGCGGUAAGGCCCUUCGGGGUACACGAGCGGCGAACGGGUGAGUAACACGUGGGUGACCUGCCCUCCACUUCGGGAUAAGCCUGGGAAACUGGGUCUAAUACCGGAUAGGACCUCCUCAUGCAUGUGGGGUGGUGGAAAGUCCGUGUCUUUGAUGCGGUCGGUGGGGGAUGGGCCCGCGGUCUAUCAGCUUGUUGGUGGGGUGANGGCCCACCAAGGCGACGACGGAUAGCCGGCCUGAGAGGGUGAUCGGCCACACUGGGACUGAGACACGGCCCAGACUCCUACGGGAGGCAGCAGU
rnacentral:rRNA from 1 species